rnacentral:lncRNA from 1 species
UGUGACAAAUUUAGUUUACGAUAAACUCGAAUAGCCCUAAGAUUUUCAUCUUAAAUCCUAAGACAACAAUUCAGUGUCAUAUAUAUUUAAGAUUUGAACUCUUUCUCGUAUUUUCAAUAAUUUCUGUCAAAAAAAAAUCUCCAAAAUAGCAUAAAAACUACAUUAAUUCCCAAAAAAAAAUGGCAUAUACUUAAACAUGGAGUCUCAUUAUUCUUAUAGACAUUAUCCAGUAAGUCAGUAAAAUAGCUUAGCUAUGAUGAUAAGGAAUAUUGUGGCUUUUAAAGAUAAUUUCAAUUAUGAAGAAGAAGAAGAAGGAAUAAAAGUUAGAGAACAGACAAAAAAAAGGACUCUCCUUUUUAGUUUUUACAAAUCUCGAUUCCAAAAAAAAAAAAAAAAAAAUGCAUAAAAAAAUGGUCGGCUUCAAACCCUACAAAGCUCCCACAGCUUCCAUGUUUCCCUCACACCACGCCUCUCUCACUCUCUUGUCUCUUUCAUUUAUACGUACGUACGUAUAGUAUAGUAUCGUAUUAGAAAUUAUAGUAUUUACGUACGGAUAAAAAUGCAUUCGUAUUUCGUAUACAUUCACAUAUCACACGUUUGAAUAUUCAUCCAUGUCUCAAGCGUCAUCAACUAACACACGAAUACGAUCAAUAUAAUUCGUUUUUUUUUUUUUGCAUCAGAGCCAUUUUAUGUUAUGAUCACGAUUAUUGUGUAUAUAUAUUAAUUAGUAGUAUAUAUCAUGAUUGUGUGUAUCGAUGUGGUGACUGGUGAGUGUAAAAUGGGAAUGUGCAUUAUAAGUUAUG